AACCCAUAGUGAGGGCACCCUCUCAGUAAGUCCUUCUAUCUCUCCCAUGCAUCGUAAAAUGUUUCUAAAUCCAUCUAUACAAAAGAAGAGAUCUCAUUACGUAAUUU
rfam:Gossypium arboreum cultivar AKA8401 contig_40272_1, whole genome shotgun sequence.